GUCCAUUCUUGUUCCACCCUGCUCCAACAAGACAAACCCCAGAUUUUUUUAAACUGUAUUUGCCUUCCUAUCCGGGUAUAUUUUGACUAAGUUGUAACCAUAGAUAGACUCUACUUGGUGCUUAUCUGGAUGGUGGUUCACAGCCCCCUCCCACUCAGCAGUCUCUCACUAGCAGGCAAGCAUCUUCAGGUCACAACUUUGGCAGAGCCGGUCCUCCAAUGCCUUUGAGCAGGGAGGGAGCGGGCAGUGCUGUGCAUCCUCUGUGUCUGGCUGGCUUCCUGCAACUGGAUCUCAGGCUGUGGUAGAGGGAGAAGGUAAGGGUUGAACAGUUCACACGGGCCUUAAAACCCAGGAGAAAUGGGGCAGGGUCUCCAACACUCCAGGGGACUUGGUCCCAGAGCAACAUAAGAGAGGCAUCCUUCUUUCAUUUUCCCACAGGUCACUGUGAGAAGAUGGCACUGAUGGCAGUUGUGCCUGCCUUCCCCCUCCAAGGAGUGCCAGUGCAGUCGCCAGAAAGAAGAGGGGAAACCUCCCACAUGCUACAGGCCCUCCCUGCAACAAGGGAUAACGCUUCCCUGGGAAUCACAGUCAAGAGAGUUCUGUAGAAACGGCCUUUCUCAUUUAGAUUUCCUCUCUCUGCCUCUUCUCCCUAUGCCUCUUCCUACCUAUUCUCCCUUCUCUUGUCUUUCUUCUCCUCCUCUUAUUCUCUCUUUCUCUCCUGCUUUCCCUUCUGUCCUGUUCUUCCUUCCAGAUAAAUCAGGAUCCUGCAUAUGAAGUAAAAUCAUGCAUGUUUCUCCUUCCAGUUCUGGCUUAUUUGACUCAACACGAUGGUCUCUAGUGGCAGCCACUCUGCUGCCAAAGAUACAUUGUUUCAUCUUCAUGUCAUCAUGGUUAUGCCAACCCACACUGUGAACAUGUGUCACCACAUCCUUGCAGUUGUCAUUUUAUAAUUUUAAAAAUAAUUUUGAUGUAUUCUUUGAUAUUUCAUACAUAUACACAAACUAUCCUGAGCAUAUCAAACUCUAACUGCAAUGUGCCCUUCUCUACCUGCAUGUCAUCUCUUUAUUCCCCCACUGUCAAACAAAUACUUUAUAUAAGAGAAAUUCCCUUUAAAUAUGUAUAUACAUGUUACCACGUAAUACUGUUAAUCAAACCCAUGUUUAUUUGUUUAAAUAAGAUUAAAUAAGUUGCCAAAUA